rnacentral:lncRNA from 1 species
AGGGUCCUCCUGGUCCAAAAGGUGAUAAGGGGGAACAAGGUGAUCAGGGACCUCGGGGUGACCAAGGCCAGGCAGGGCCCCCGGGACCCCCGGGCCCUCCAGGUCCCAGAGGGCCCCCUGGGGACACCGGGAAGGACGGCCCCCGAGGGAUGCCAGGAGUGCCUGGUGAACCAGGGAAGCCCGGAGAACAAGGCUUAAUGGCAAGUAUCUUGAUUUACAUUUUUCAAUGCUAAAAAUGAUGGAAGCUCGGGGUAUUAAAGACCCUAGUUGAGCUAAUACGCGACAAUCGCAUCUGUUGUGUGAGCCGGAACAGAAAUGUGGAAACUGAUGAAAGGAGAGCGUGGUGUGGCCUCUCUGCUGCCCACGGGGGCCACAGGACCACACGUGUGUCAGGAGUGAUGCGGGAGGACCGGAAGGUCCGGUGCAGACAGGGCAAGGGGGCCACGGAAGGCCAGGGGCUCUGCGGUGAGGAGAUGCGAGGGUGUGAAGACCCUUACCGGAGUCGCU